AUGAGUGCUGAGUCAUGGAGCCACACCCCAUGGCCUAUAUAAAGGAGCUACUUUCUGGCAGUCUCUGAGUCAGGCAAAAGUCGAACUUAUCUUGCUGAAGUCACUUACUGGUCUCCUGCCUGCUCUGAGGACUUUGCUAGGACUUUGGGCAGAGCUGCAGAGGCAAGCCUGAUUCGGAUUUCCCGGACCCAGCCGUCAGCGGAGGAGUGGGACACGACACCACCUGCCCGGACGUUAACAUUGAUGAUCUGAGCAUGCACAGAAGCGCAUGUACGCUCCCAUUGCGAACCGGUAGUAAAGGUAAAGGUAAAGGUUCCCCUCGCACAUAUGUGCUAAUCGUUGCCGACUCUAGGGGGUGGUGCUCAUCUCCGUUUCAAAGCCGAAGAGCCAGCGCUGUCCGAAGACGUCAUGUGGCCAGCAUGACUCAACGCCAAAGGCGCACGGAACGCUGUUACCUUCCCACCAAAGAAAACACCCACACCUCCAGCUAUCAAGAUCAUCUUUUCAGCCUGGUGUUGGAGAAAAAUCUUUUAGAGGAAACUCCAGAAACCACAAACAAAACUGAUUUG